rnacentral:rRNA from 1 species
UACGUAGGGAGCAAGCGUUGUCCGGAAUCAUUGGGCGUAAAGCGCGCGUAGGCGGCCCGGUAAGUCCGUUGUGAAAGUCAAAGGCUCAACCUUUGAACGCCGAUGGAUACUGCCGGGCUAGAGUCCGGAAGAGGCGAAGUGGAAUUCCUGGUGUAGCGGUGGAAUGCGCAGAUAUCAGGAGGAACACCAAUAGCGAAGGCAGCUCGCUGGGACGGUACUGACGCUGAGGCGCGAAAGCGUGGGGAGCGAAACAGG